GGUUCUAUAUUGUAGUGGUCAUCACGUCUGCUUUACACGCAGAAGGUCCUGGGUUCAAUCCCCAGUGGAACCA